UUAUUAUUUUGUUCUCUAAUUAGGGAUUGCGAUUUUAAUUUUCUGAAAAUUCUAGUUUUUGGAAAUGAGAUUAGGGUGCAGAUUAUUGACGAAUGCAUAUGUUGUUUUGGAAUGCUUGUGAACAUUUAAUAGAUUUUUCAGCCUGUGAAUGAAAAUUUCUAAUAUAAUUUCAUUGUGUUCUAUGUGCAAUUCAUAAUUUUUUGUAUCUAAAGUGGGUUUUGAUAGGCACACCAAGUGUUUGUGGAAAGCUCUAAGAGAGAGAAACUUGAAGUUAGAAGGUAGAAGAAGCUCAUGAAUCUGUAAACCAUUGUGAAUGAUGAACCAACUGGAGGAGAUCAAACGUAGACGUCUCACUAUACAUACUACGGGCCAGAUUUAGUUAGCUAUAUUAUAGUGAUGCGGUACUUGGUGGUUAGAAGGAAAAUGAUCUAUUUGUACUUAUUAGAAGUAUUUGUGGUACUAAAACAAAUAUUUAUUAGUUGGGUUUGAUUAAGUACAUUAAUUUUCGUUAAUUAGGAUUUGUCAUGUAUACUCUUAAUUUAAUUAGUUUUGGAAAUUAUAAUACGGAUAUGACAAUUAUUUUUGGCAUUUCAAGAGUAUUUUUGCAUU